UACGUAGGGGGCAAGCGUUGUCCGGAUUUAUUGGGCGUAAAGAGCGUGUAGGCGGCCUGAAAGGUCAGCUGUGAAAACUCGAGGCUCAACCUCGAGACGUCGGUUGAAACCAUCUGGCUAGAGUCCGGAAGAGGAGAGUGGAAUUCCCGGUGUAGCGGUGAAAUGCGCAGAUAUCGGGAAGAACACGCGUGGCGAAGGCGGCUCUCUGGGACGGUACUGACGCUGAGACGCGAAAGCGUGGGGAGCGAACAGG
rnacentral:rRNA from 1 species